rnacentral:rRNA from 1 species
AACGAACGCUGGCGGCAGGCCUAACACAUGCAAGUCGAGCGCCCCGCAAGGGAAGCGGCGGACGGGUGAGUAACGCGUGGGAACGUACCUUUUGCUUCGGAAUAGCCUCGGGAAACUGGGAGUAAUACCGAAUGUGCCCUACGGGGGAAAGAUUUAUCGGCAAAAGAUCGGCCCGCGUUGGAUUAGGUAGUUGGUGGGGUAAUGGCCUACCAAGGCGACGAUCCAUAGCUGGUUUGAGAGGAUGAUCAGACACAUUGGGACUGAGACACGGCCCAGACUCCUACGGGAGGCAGCAGUGGGGAAUCUUAGACAAUGGGCGCAAGCCUGAUCUAGCCAUGCCGCGUGAGCGAUGAAGGCCUUAGGGUUGUAAAGCUCUUUCGUGGGGGAAGAUAAUGACUGUACCCCAAGAAGAAGCCCCGGCUAACUCCGUGCCAGCCGCCGCCGUAACAC